CGCGGCCUAUCAGCUUGUUGGUGGGGUAAUGGCCCACCAAGGCGACGACGGGUAGCCGGCCUGAGAGGGCGACCGGCCACACUGGGACUGAGACACGGCCCAGACUCCUACGGGAGGCAGCAGUGGGGAAUAUUGCACAAUGGGCGAAAGCCUGAUGCAGCGACGCCGCGUGAGGGAUGACGGCCUUCGGGUUGUAAACCUCUUUCAGCAGGGAAGAAGCGAAAGUGACGGUACCUGCAGAAGAAGCGCCGGCUAACUACGUGCCAGCAGCCGCGGUAAUACGUAGGGCGCAAGCGUUGUCCGGAAUUAUUGGGCGUAAAGAGCUCGUAGGCGGCUUGUCACGUCGGGUGUGAAAGCCCGGGGCUUAACCCCGGGUCUGCAUCCGAUACGGGCAGGCUAGAGUGAUGUAGGGGAGACUGGAAUUCCUGGUGUAGCGGUGAAAUGCGCAGAUAUCAGGAGGAACACCGAUGGCGAAGGCAGGUCUCUGGGCAUUAACGGACGCUGAGGAGCGAAAGCAUGGGGAGCGAACAGGAUUAGAUACCCUGGUAGUCCAUGCCGUAAACGUUGGGCACUAGGUGUGGGGGACAUUCCACGUUUUCCGCGCCGUAGCUAACGCAUUAAGUGCCCCGCCUGGGGAGUACGG
rnacentral:rRNA from 1 species